rnacentral:rRNA from 1 species
GACGAACGCUGGCGGCGUGCUUAACACAUGCAAGUCGAACGAAGUGGCGAACGUGUGAGUAACGCGUAAUAAACCUGCCCUUCAGAGGGGGACAACAGUUGGAAACGACUGCUAAUACCGCAUACUGAAGGUGGGGAUUGCGUCUGAUUAGCUAGUUGGAGGGGUAACGGCCCACCAAGGCGAUGAUCAGUAGACAGUCUGAGAGGAGGAACGGCCACAUUGGGACUGAGACACGGCCCAAAGUCCUGCGGGAGGAAGCAGUGGGGAAUCGUCCGACAUGGACGAAAGUCUGACGGGACAACGCCGCGUGAGUGAUAAAGGCCUUCGGGUUGUCAAGCUCUGUUAAUCGGGACGCAGUACCGGAAUAGAAAGCCACGGCUAACUACGUGCCAGCAGCCGCGGUAAUAC